rnacentral:rRNA from 1 species
UGGCUCAGAACGAACGCUGGCGGCAGGCUUAACACAUGCAAGUCGAGCGCCCCGCAAGGGGAGCGGCAGACGGGUGAGUAACGCGUGGGAAUCUACCCUUGACUACGGAAUAACGCAGGGAAACUUGUGCUAAUACCGUAUGUGUCCUUCGGGAGAAAGAUUUAUCGGUCAAGGAUGAGCCCGCGUUGGAUUAGCUAGUUGGUGGGGUAAAGGCCUACCAAGGCGACGAUCCAUAGCUGGUCUGAGAGGAUGAUCAGCCACAUUGGGACUGAGACACGGCCCAAACUCCUACGGGAGGCAGCAGUGGGGAAUAUUGGACAAUGGGCGCAAGCCUGAUCCAGCCAUGCCGCGUGAGUGAUGAAGGCCCUAGGG